CAGUAGCCACGGUAAUACGAAGGGGGCUAGCGUUGUUCGGAAUUACUGGGCGUAAAGCGCACGUAGGCGGAUAUUUAAGUCAGGGGUGAAAUCCCAGAGCUCAACUCUGGAACUGCCUUUGAUACUGGGUAUCUUGAGUAUGGAAGAGGUGAGUGGAAUUCCGAGUGUAGAGGUGAAAUUCGUAGAUAUUCGGAGGAACACCAGUGGCGAAGGCGGCUCACUGGGCCAAUACUGACGCUCAUGCACGAAAGCGUGGGGAGCAAACAGGAUUAGAUACCCCUGUAGUCCCUGUCUCUUAUAC
rnacentral:rRNA from 1 species